UACGAAGGGGGGCUAGCGUUGCUCGGAAUCACUGGGCGUAAAGCGCACGUAGGCGGAUUGCUAAGUCAGGGGUGAAAUCCUGGAGCUCAACUCCAGAACUGCCCUUGAUACUGGCGGUCUCGAGUCCGGGAGAGGUGAGUGGAACUGCGAGUGUAGAGGUGAAAUUCGUAGAUAUUCGCAAGAACACCAGUGGCGAAGGCGGCUCACUGGCCCGGUACUGACGCUGAGGUGCGAAAGCGUGGGGAGCGAACAGG
rnacentral:rRNA from 1 species